AUGUGCUUACCUAGUGCAUUGUUUAGAUCCUAUCACUUAGAGGUAAUUGAUCUAGAAAGUUGGGGCGGCAGCUUUGGUUCAACAAGUCAAAUGAGCAGCCUUGUAAAAUUGCGUCAUUUUGGUGUGCCGGAAGAUAGUCUUAAACUUCACUCUAGCAUAUGCGAGGUUGAGAAACUUAAAUUCCUAGAGGAACUGAGGAGAUUUGAAGUGGGAAAAGAAACCAAGGGUUUUGAACUAAGUCAACUAGGAGAACUGACAGAGCUUGGAGGAUCACUUGGCAUUUAUAAUCUCGAAAAGGUGCAGAAAAAAGACGAGGCAAAUGAACUAAAACUGAUACACAAAAACCACUUGCACAAGUUAAUACUAGAAUGGUGUAUUGAUGGACCUAACAAGAAUGCAGAACAAGAAGAACAUGUCAUUGAAAGUCUCGUACCACACAGUAAUCUGCAAGACCUAUGCAUUAGAGGACAUGGAGGUGCUAAUUGCCCAUCAUGGUUGGGCAGGUACCUCUCAGUUGAAAAUUUAGAAUCUCUUUCCCUAUGUGACGUAUCUUGGAGCACACUUCCCCCUCUAGGGAAGUUGGGGUUCGUUGCUGGUGAAGAGUGGCAGAGUCAUGUCUCAAGCCAAAGUUUCCAUAUUUUGAAAAGGCUGGAAAUAGUUAACAUACCAAAACUACAAAAAUGGGCUGGAAACGAACCUUGUCAUUUGUUCUCUGUUCUAGAGGUGGUCAUCUUUAUAGAUUGCCCUGAACUCGUGGAAUUGCCAUUUUCACACCCUAGUAGCUAUCAAGCAAAGCACGACGAGAAUAUGUCUUGGUUUCCUAAACUACGGGAGCUCAAGAUUAUACGCUGCCCCAAAUUGGCGUCAUUGCCUCCAAUUCCUUGGACCAAAGCUCCAUGCUCAGUUGAGAUAGAACAAACAGGACCAGUAUUUGGGAAGCUAGUGUACUCGAAGAACUACAAAUCGGAAUUGAGUUUGAAAGUUGAGGGAAAAGACUGUCAGCAUGGUGCGUUGUGGAAUGGGCUGGCAUUCCAUAAUCUAGCUGAUCUGAAAGACCUGAAGGUGACGAAGUGCCCUCCCCUGCCACUGAUUCAUCUCCAGAAGCUAAAAUCUCUCAAGUCCCUGUGGAUAACCGGUAUGAGCAACUCAUUGCUGCUGUUUGAAGGUGAAGGCUAUAAUACUGAAUGCCCGCUUCCAGUUGAACAUAUACGGAUCGAGGACUGUGGUACUGAUGGAAAGGAACUGACACUACUGUUGUCUUAUUUCCCGAAGCUCACUGUGUUAGUAAUGAGAAGUUGUGAGAAGAUAACAGAGCUUGGUGUGGCGGUGCUUCAGACGGAGAUGACGACACCAUCAUCUUCAGGUAAUGAAGUUGAAAUUGAGCAUGCACAAGAUGGGCACCAUCAGACAAGAGGAGAGGAGGUAGAAGAUGCAGCAGCAGGAGGAGGUCUGCUGCUCCUACCUCGCCAACUACAGGAGUUGAACAUCGAUGCAUGCAAAGAGCUGCGGUUACUCUCUGCUUCACUUGGCAAGGACAGCACACACGGAGGAGGGCUCCAGAGUCUCUGCUCCCUCCAAUGGUUGGGCAUAUCUGGUUGCCCCAGGUUCCUCUCGUCCUAUUCGUCCUGCGCCUCAUCUUGUUUCCCCUUCCCGACCUCCCUGCAACAACUCAUGGUGUGGCGCGUGGAGGGCAUGGAGACGCUGGCUCCCCUCUCAAAUCUCAUCUCUCUCACCAGUUUAUACAUGCCUGAUUGUGGGGAUCUAAGAGGCGAGGGCUUCUGGCCUCUCAUCGCCCAGGGCCACCUCACACGAUUAAACAUCUGUGGAACCCCAAAAUUCUUCACUGGUUCAGAGCCCUCAUGGCCGCAUGACCAAGAGAUUCCUUCCUCUUCAUCCAAACUCGAAAAUCUGUCGACAGAUGACUGGGCGGGAGUCCUUACUGUGCCCAUCUGCAGACUCCUCUCUUCCGCCCUCACUGAGUUAAACUUUUGUUACAACGAAGAGGUGGAGCGCUUAACAGAGGAGCAAGAGGAGGCCCUUUACCUCCUCAAUAGCCUCCAGAAACUUGUGUUUUCUCACUGCAGGAAGCUGCAGCACCUCCCUAUGGGGCUAACCAAGCUUGCCAGCCUCAAGAUAUUACAGAUCCGGUGGUGUCCAGCCAUUCAGUUGCUGCCCAAGCACGGACUGCCAAGUUCUCUACAAGAAUUAUAUAUCAGAAACUGUCCGGCCAUCAAAUCUCUGCCCAAGGACGGCCUGCCAAGUUCACUACGAAAAUUACAAGUAUUUGAUGGCAUCAGCGAGGAGCUUAAAAGGCAGUGCCGCAAGUUAAAAGGAACCAUUCCAAUCAUCAUAGACUAUGCCAUCUACUACUAA
rnacentral:rRNA from 1 species